UACGUAGGGUGCAAGCGUUGUCCGGAAUUAUUGGGCGUAAAGAGCUCGUAGGCGGUCUGUCGCGUCGGUCGUGAAAACUUGGGGCUUAACCCUGAGCUUGCGGUCGAUACGGGCAUGACUGGAGUUCGGCAGGGGAGACUGGAAUUCCUGGUGUAGCGGUGAAAUGCGCAGAUAUCAGGAGGAACACCGGUGGCGAAGGCGGAUCUCUGGGCCAUUACUGACGCUGAGGAGCGAAAGCGUGGGGAGCGAACAGG
rnacentral:rRNA from 1 species